UACGAAGGGGGCUAGCGUUGUUCGGAAUUACUGGGCGUAAAGCGUGCGCAGGCGGUUCUUCAAGUCAGAGGUGAAAGCCCAGAGCUCAACUCUGGAAUGGCCUUUGAGACUAGAGAACUAGGGUACGGGAGAGGUGAGUGGAAUUCCGAGUGUAGAGGUGAAAUUCGUAGAUAUUCGGAAGAACACCAGUGGCGAAGGCGGCUCACUGGCCCGUUACCGACGCUCAGGCGCGACAGCGUGGGGAGCAAACAGG
rnacentral:rRNA from 1 species